GAUGAACGCUGGCGGCGUGCCUAAUACAUGCAAGUCGAGCGAAAAGAUGAGGAGCUUGCUCCUCUGACGUUAGCGGCGGACGGGUGAGUAACACGUGGAUAACCUACCUAUAAGACUGGGAUAACUUCGGGAAACCGGAGCUAAUACCGGAUAAUAUUUUGAACCGCAUGGUUCAAUAGUGAAAGACGGCUUUGCUGUCACUUAUCGAUGGUUCCGCGCCGCAUUAGCUAGUUGGUAAGGUAACGGCUUACCAAGGCAACGAUGCGUAGCCGACCUGAGAGGCUGAUCGGCCACACUGGAACUGAGACACGGUCCAGACUCCUACGGGAGGCAGCAGUAGGGAAUCUUCCGCAAUGGGCGAAAGCCUGACGGAGCAACGCCGCGUGAGUGAUGAAGGUCUUCGGAUCGUAAAACUCUGUUAUUAGGGAAGAACAAAUGUGUAAGUAACUAUGCACGUCUUGACGGUACCUAAUCAGAAAGCCACGGCUAACUACGUG
rnacentral:rRNA from 1 species